AUUGAACGCUGGCGGCGUGCUUAACACAUGCAAGUCGAUCGGUAACAGGUGUAGCAAUACAUGCUGACGAGAGGCGGACGGGUGAGUAAUGCUUGGGAAUCUGCCUAUUAGUGGGGGACAACCCGGGGAAACUCGGGCUAAUACCGCAUACGCUCUACGGAGGAAAGCCGGGGACCGCAAGGCCUGGCGCUAAUAGAUGAGCCCAAGUCGGAUUAGCUAGUUGGUAGGGUAACGGCCUACCAAGGCGACAAUCCGUAGCUGGUCUGAGAGGACGACCAGCCACACCGGAACUGAGACACGGUCCGGACUCCUACGGGAGGCAGCAGUGGGGAAUAUUGGACAAUGGGGGCAACCCUGAUCCAGCGACGCCGCGUGGGUGAAGAAGGCCUGCGGGUUGUAAAGCCCUUUCGGUGGGAAGAAAGUCUCGACCUAAUACGUCGGGACCUUGACGUAACCCACUAAAGAAGCACCGGCUAACUCUGUGCCAGCCGCCGCCGUAA
rnacentral:rRNA from 1 species